rfam:Echinostoma caproni strain Egypt genome assembly, scaffold: ECPE_scaffold0001054
GCACUGCUGACGAGUCCCAAACAGGCCGAAACAGCUGUCCAGUGC